rnacentral:rRNA from 1 species
GGGCAGCGGAUACUUAGCUUGCUAAGUAUGCCGGCGACCGGCGCACGGGUGAGUAACGCGUACCGAACCUGCCCAUCACACAGGGAUAGGCUUGCGAAAGCAAGAUUAAUACCUGAUGGUCUCAAUUUUAUGCAUGUAUGAUUGAGUAAAGCCUUCGGGCGGUGAUGGAUGGCGGUGCGUCCCAUUAGGAAGUUGGCGGGGUAACGGCCCACCAAUCCUUCGAUGGGUAGGGGUUCUGAGAGGAAGGUCCCCCACAUUGGAACUGAGAUACGGUCCAAACUCCUACGGGAGGCAGCAGUGAGGAAUAUUGGUCAAUGGGCGAGAGCCUGAACCAGCCAAGUAGCGUGUGGGAUGAAGGCCCUUGUGGUCGUAAACCGCUUUUAUCAGUGAAUAAAGUGCACCACGUGUGGUGUCAUUGCAGGUAGCUGAAGAAAAAGGACCGGCUAAUUCCGUGCCAGCAGCCGCGGUAAUACGGAAGGUCCGGGCGUUAUCCGGAAUUAUUGGGUUUAAAGGGAGCGCAGGCGGGAGUAUAAGUCAGCUGUUAAAUAUCAGGGCCCAACUCUGUUAUGCAGUUGAAACUAUAUUUCUUGAGUACGCACAGGGAUGGCGGAAUUCAGGGUGUAGCGGUGAAUGCUUAGAUAUCCUGAAGAACUCCGAUCGCGAAGGCAGCCAUCCGGAGCGUAA